GUGCUGGCUUUAGCAACACAUAUACUAAAAUAGGAACGAUACAGAGAAGAUUAGCGUGGCCCCUGCGUGAGGAUGACCCAUGGGUUCAUGAAGCAUUCCAUAUUUUA
ensembl:snRNA U6 U6 spliceosomal RNA